AUUGAACGCUGGCGGCAGGCCUAACACAUGCAAGUCGAGCGGUAACAUUUCAAAAGCUUGCUUUUGAAGAUGAUGAGCGGCGGACGGGUGAGUAAUGCCUGGGAAUUUGCCCAUUUGUGGGGGAUAACAGUUGGAAACGACUGCUAAUACCGCACACGCCCUACGGGGGAAAGCAGGGGACCUUCGGGCCUUGCGCUGAUGGGUAAGCCCAGGUGGGACUAGCUAGUAGGUGAGGUAAAGGCUCACCUAGGCGACGAUCCCUAGCUGGUCUGAGAGGAUGAUCAGCCACACUGGGACUGAGACACGGCCCAG
rnacentral:rRNA from 1 species